GACGAACGCUGGCGGCGUGCCUAAUACAUGCAAGUCGAACGCAGUGGGGACGGGUGAGUAACACUUGGGUAACCUCCCAUCAGAGGGGAUAACACUUGGAAACAGGUGCUAAACCGAUACUGAUGGAUGGACCCGCGGUGCAUUAGCUAGUUGGUGAGGUAACGGCUCACCAAGGCCACGAUGCAUAGCCGACGUGAGAGGUGGACUGGCCACACUGGGACUGAGACACGGCCCAGACUCCUACGGGAGGAAGCAGUGGGGAACCUCGGGAAAUGGACGGAAGGGUGAGCGAGCAACGCCGCGUGACAGAAGCGGGUUUCCGGACCGUAAAACGUUGUUGUGGGAGAAGGGGUAUGUAAUCAGAAAACCACGGCUCACUACGUGUCAGCAGCCGCGGUAAUUC
rnacentral:rRNA from 1 species